AGCGAGCACUCGAAAGAGAGAGAGAGAGAGAGAGAGAGAGAGAGAGAGAGAGAGAAGUGCCGUCGCAUGUGCAGGACCAAAAAGUGCAGAGGAAAAUUAGCUUGUUAUCCUCCAAAGAAGCUUCACCUUCAGAGAGAAGCGUGAGGAGGCUGAGAAACAGGAGGAAGACGUUGCUUCUCUGGUGAUUUAAGGGUGACAUGACAAGCCUCUCGUCCCUCAAAUCCCAGCUAGUUUCUGACAGCGUUUCACAGCUGUGACGGGAGUUUCUGCUGUCGGGUGUCUCUGACUGUGUUCGGUGGAUUGCAGCCAGGAUUUACAACAGAAGAGGGGAUCAAGGGCAGGAGCGGGAACAAAAGUCUCCUCAUCCCCCCUCUGACCCGCAGAUCCGAACAGGAACUUUUGCUGGGAAGCUCUUUCCCGAGAGCAUGGAUGGAUUUAUGACUAUGUGCUGAGGAUAUUGGAUGAACAAUUGACGGCACGUUUCUUUAACGUUCUCUCCACCGUAUCUCACAGCCGGUGCUCCUGCCAUGUCCUGGCUCCUGUGUCUGUGGAUAAGUGUUAACUGCUUACUGCUGUGCCACGCCACUUUGUACGAGACCAUCCAGCAGCAUCAUGUGACCCACCCGGGCCGCAACACCAUACAGAUUCUGGAGGGAGGAACAUGUGAGGUCAUCGCAGCACACCGAUGUUGCAACAAGAACCGCAUUGAGGAGCGUUCCCAGACGGUCAAGUGCUCAUGUUUACCGGGAAAAGUGGCCGGCACAACACGGAACAAACCCUCCUGUGUAGACGCCUCCAUCGUGAUUGGGAAGUGGUGGUGUGAGAUGGAGCCGUGUCUGGAGGGAGAGGAGUGUAAGACACUACCAGACAACUCCGGCUGGAUGUGUUCCUCUGGGAACAAGAUCAAGACCACGAGGAACACCCAGCCAUAUUCAACAUUUUAGCUCUGAGGACCACCAAAGCUGGCUCGCCAGAAGCUCAGUGGCGUCCUUCUCCUCAUCAAGAUUCAUCCCCGGACCUAACAAAGAGCUCUUUCACAGGCAGUGAAUGUGGAUUCUUUCUGUCAGAAUGGACGAAACCAUUCAUUCAAAGGGGUGUUUGACUGGAUUACCUGUGACUGAACAAUAAAAAAGGACAUUCUCGGGGAUAAAGAUGAGAUUUGCUCGUUCAGUGCCAAGGAAUAUGACAAAUAGAAAUAAAGCAGGCUAAUCUGUGUUUUUGAUCAAUGAGCCCAACGCUGCAGACUCGACCGUGUCCAAUUCUCUUGAUUUUUUUCUGCGUUUCUCCUGACCACCUUCCUCUGGUUCUAAACUCAUACAGCUUAGGGGAGCCUAUUUGAAGACUUUGCCUCCCUAGGUAAACUGGACAAUCCUGAUUUAAGCUGUGAAUGACUGUAUGAAGGCUCAUGAUGGAUAAGCAAUGGUCUGUGAAAAUGAGGUGGAAAUCAAUAGGAGAUUUUUUUUUUCCAUCCCAGCAUCAGUUUGUCGUUCCACGUCGGCUUUGGUAACAGACUAGGAGCUUGUGAAGCCCUGCUAUUUCCCUUUCACUUCUGAGUUUACCGCUCACCGCUAGUGUCCCACAUGCUGUCCGUUUGGAAUUCCCCCAAGUCAAAGGUCACCUCACUGUCUACUUGGGCCAGAUAUCUUUUUAUUUGUCAGCAUGCUCAAUGUAUUUUGUGGGAGCUUUGUAUUGAAAGUAACUGUAUAUAUUUCUGUAUAUAUACAUAUAGAUACAUAUUAAAAGACAUCAUAUGAAGAUCUA